GUAACAUGCUGGGUGAUGGGUCUAUCAGGUAACAUGCUGGGUCUAUCAGGUAACAUACUGGGUCUACCAGGUAACAUGCUGGAUCUAUCAGGUAACAUACUGGGUCUACCAGGUAACAUGCUGGAUCUAUCAGGUUACCUACUGGGUCUAUCAGGUAACAUGCUGGGUCUAUCAGAUAACAUACUGGGUCUAUCAGGUAACAUGCUGGGUGAUCGGUAUUUUAGGUAACAUGCUGGGUGAUGGGUCUAUCAGGUAACAUGAUGGGUCUAUCAGGUAGCAUGGUGGGUUUAUCAGGUAACAUGCUGGGUGAUGG
ensembl:lncRNA